rnacentral:rRNA from 1 species
GAUGAACGCUGGCGGCGUGCCUAAUACAUGCAAGUCGAGCGAACGGACGAGAAGCUUGCUUUUCUGAUGUUAGCGGCGGACGGGUGAGUAACACGUGGAUAACCUACCUAUAAGACUGGGAUAACUUCGGGAAACCGGAGCUAAUACCGGAUAAUAUUUUGAACCGCAUGGUUCAAAAGUGAAAUACGGUCUUGCUGUCACUUAUAGAUGGAUCCGCGCUGCAUUAGCUAGUUGGUAAGGUAACGGCUUACCAAGGCAACGAUGCAUAGCCGACCUGAGAGGGAGAUCGGCCACACGGGAACUGAGACACGGUCCAGACACCUACGGGAGGCAGCAGUAGGGAAUCUUCCGCAAAGGGGGAAAGCCUGACGGAGCAACGCCGCGUGAGUGAUGAAGGUCUACGGAUCGUAAAACUCUGUUAUUAGGGAAGAACAUAUGUGUAAGUAACUGUGCACAUCAUGACGGUACCUAAUCAGAAAGCCACGGCUAACUACGUG